rnacentral:rRNA from 1 species
GAUGAACGCUGGCGGCGUGCCUAAUACAUGCAAGUCGAGCGAACAGACCAGGAGCUUGCUCCUCUGACGUUAGCGGCGGACGGGUGAGUAACACGUGUAUCACCUACCUAUAAUGCUGGGAUAAUUACGGGAAGCCGGAGCUUAUCCCGGAGAAUAUCUUGAACCGCAUUGUGCAAUGGUGAAAGUCGGUUUUUGUGGCUCGUAUAGCUGGAUCCCGGCCGCAUGAGCUAGUUGGUAAGGUAAUGGCUUACCACGGCGACGAGGCGUAUCCGAGCUGAGAGAGUGGUCGCCGACACGGGAACUUAGCCGCGGUCCAGACUCCUGCGGGAGGCACCAGUAGGGAAUGUUACGCAAAGGUCGAGAGCCUGACAGAGCAACGCCACGUGAGUGAUGACGGUCUUGGGUUCGUAAAGCUCUGUUACUAGUGGAGAACAAAUGUGUAAGUAGCUAUGCACGUCUUGACGGUACCUAAUCAAAAAGCCACGGCUAACUACGUG